rnacentral:rRNA from 1 species
AUUGAACGCUGGCGGCAUGCCUUACACAUGCAAGUCGAACGGCAGCACGGGGCAACCUGGUGGCGAGCGGCGAACGGGUGAGUAAUGCAUCGGAACGUACCUUUCAGUGGGGGAUAACGUAGCGAAAGUUACGCUAAUACCGCAUAUUCUGUGAGCAGGAAAGCAGGGGAGCGCAAGACCUUGCGCUGAUUGAGCGGCCGAUGUCAGAUUAGCUAGUUGGUGAGGUAAAGGCUCACCAAGGCGACGAUCUGUAGCGGGUCUGAGAGGAUGAUCCGCCACACUGGAACUGAGACACGGUCCAGACUCCUACGGGAGGCAGCAGUGGGGAAUUUUGGACAAUGGGGGCAACCCUGAUCCAGCCAUGCCGCGUGAGUGAAGAAGGCCUUCGGGUUGUAAAGCUCUUUCGGCCGGGAAGAAAUCGCACGGGCUAAUACCCUGUGUGGAUGACGGUACCGGAAUAAGAAGCACCGGCUAACUACGUGCCAGCCGCCGCAGUAAUAC